AUUGAACGCUGGCGGCAUGCCUUACACAUGCAAGUCGAACGGCAGCGCGGACUUCGGUCUGGCGGCGAGUGGCGAACGGGUGAGUAAUACAUCGGAACGUAGCCUGUUGUGGGGGAUAACUAGUCGAAAGAUUAGCUAAUACCGCAUACGACCUGAGGGUGAAAGUGGGGGACCGCAAGGCCUCACGCAGCAGGAGCGGCCGAUGUCUGAUUAGCUAGUUGGUGGGGUAAAGGCCCACCAAGGCGACGAUCAGUAGCUGGUCUGAGAGGACGAUCAGCCACACUGGGACUGAGACACGGCCCAGACUCCUACGGGAGGCAGCAGUGGGGAAUUUUGGACAAUGGGGGCAACCCUGAUCCAGCAAUGCCGCGUGUGUGAAGAAGGCCUUCGGGUUGUAAAGCACUUUUGUCCGGAAAGAAAUCGCGCUGGUUAAUACCUGGCGUGGAUGACGGUACCGGAAGAAUAAGCACCGGCUAACUACGUG
rnacentral:rRNA from 1 species